rnacentral:rRNA from 1 species
UACGUAGGGGGCAAGCGUUGUCCGGAUUUAUUGGGCGUAAAGAGCGUGUAGGCGGUUCGGUAGGUCCGUUGUGAAAACUCGAGGCUCAACCUCGAGACGCCGAUGGAAACCAUGUGGCUAGAGUCCGGAAGAGGAGAGUGGAAUUCCUGGUGUAGCGGUGAAAUGCGCAGAUAUCAGGAAGAACACCCGUGGCUAAGGCGGCUCUCUAGUACGGUACUGACGCUGAGACGCGAAAGCGUGGGGAGCGAACAGG